CAUCUGGGGAGACACCCAGAACCCACGAGCCUGAGACAGGACCCCAGGGACUUCACCAUGGACUUGGUGCCAAGCUGCGUUUUCCUCCUGAUCAUUUCUCAAGGUGUCCAGUGUGAGGUGCAGCUGGUGGAGUCUGGGGGAGGCUUCGUUCGGCCUGGGGGGUCUCUGAGACUUUCCUGUGCAGCCUCUGGAUUCACCUUCAGUAACUACUGGAUGCACUGGGUCCGCCAGGCUCCAGGGAAGGGGCUAGAGUGGCUUGGGGAAAUCAAUCCUGAUGGACGUGGCACAGUCUAUGCCAGUGCUGUGAAGGGCCGAUUCACCAUCUCCAGAGACAACGCCAAGAACAUGCUGUAUCUGCAACUGAACAACCUGAGAGCUGAGGACACGGCUGUGUGGUACUGUGCAAGACAAGGU